rnacentral:rRNA from 1 species
GCUGUGGAUAGGGGUGAAAGGCUAAACAAACUUGGAAAUAGCUGGUUCUCUCCGAAAACUAUUUAGGUAGUGCCUCAAGUAUUACCAUCGGGGGUAGAGCACUGUUUUGGCUAGGGGGUCAUGGCGACUUACCAAACCAAGGCAAACUCCGAAUACCGAUGAGUACAGCUUGGGAGACAGAGCACCGGGUGCUAACGUCCGGACUCAAGAGGGAAACAACCCAGACCGCCAGCUAAGGUCCCUAAAAUUGGCUAAGUGGGAAACGAAGUGGGAAGGCUAAAACAGUCAGGAUGUUGGCUUAGAAGCAGCCAUCAUUUAAAGAAAGCGUAAUAGCUCACUGAUCGAGUCGUCCUGCGCGGAAGAUGUAACGGGGCUAAGCCAGUUACCGAAGCUGCGGAUGUGCAAUUUAUUGCACGUGGUAGGAGAGCGUUCUGUAGGCCUGUGAAGGUGUCUGGUAACGGAUGCUGGAGGUAUCAGAAGUGCGAAUGCUGACAUGAGUAGCGUUAAAGGGGGUGAAAAGCCCCCUCGCCGUAAGCGCAAGGUUUUCUACGCAACGUUCAUCGGCGUAGAGUGAGUCGGCCCCUAAGGCGAGGCAGAGAUGCGUAGCUGAUGGGAAACAGGUCAAUAUUCCUGUACCGAUGUGUAGUGCGAUGUGGGGACGGAGAAGGUUAGCUCAGCCAACUGUUGGAUAUGUUGGUUCAAGCCUGUAGUCGUGCCUGGUAGGUAAAUCCGCCGGGCUUAGAUGAGGGGUGAUAACGAGGCUGCUUGCAGCCGAAGUGAGUGAUACCCUGCUUCCAGGAAAAGCCACUAAGCUUCAGCUACACACGACCGUACCGCAAACCGACACUGGUGCGCGAGAUGAGUAUUCUAAGGCGCUUGAGAGAACUCAGGAGAAGGAACUCGGCAAAUUGACACCGUAACUUCGGAAGAAGGUGUGCCUUUAGUAGGUGAAGUCCCUCGCGGAUGGAGCCCAAUGAGGUUGCAAAAAAUCGGUGGCUGCGACUGUUUAUUAAAAACACAGCACUCUGCAAACACGAAAGUGGACGUAUAGGGUGUGACGCCUGCCCGGUGCUGGAAGAUUAAAUGAUGGGGUGCAAGCUCUUGAUUGAAGUCCCAGUAAACGGCGGCCGUAACUAUAACGGUCCUAAGGUAGCGAAAUUCCUUGUCGGGUAAGUUCCGACCUGCACGAAUGGCGUAACGAUGGCCACACUGUCUCCUCCUGAGACUCAGCGAAGUUGAAAUGUUUGUGAUGAUGCAAUCUCCCCGCGGAAAGACGGAAAGACCCCAUGAACCUUUACUGUAGCUUUGUAUUGGACUUUGAACAGAUCUGUGUAGGAUAGGUGGGAGGCUUUGAAGUAGGGUCGCUAGAUCUUAUGGAGCCAACGUUGAAAUACCACCCUGGUGUGUUUGAGGUUCUAACCUAGGUCCAUUAUCUGGAUCGGGGACAGUGCAUGGUAGGCAGUUUGACUGGGGCGGUCUCCUCCCAAAGCGUAACGGAGGAGUUCGAAGGUACGCUAGUUACGGUCGGACAUCGUGACGAUAGUGCAAUGGCAUAAGCGUGCUUAACUGCGAGACUGACAAGUCGAGCAGAUGCGAAAGCAGGACAUAGUGAUCCGGUGGUUCUGUAUGGAAGGGCCAUCGCUCAACGGAUAAAAGGUACUCUGGGGAUAACAGGCUGAUACCGCCCAAGAGUUCAUAUCGACGGCGGUGUUUGGCACCUCGAUGUCGGCUCAUCUCAUCCUGGGGCUGUAGCCGGUCCCAAGGGUAUGGCUGUUCGCCAUUUAAAGAGGUACGUGAGCUGGGUUUAAAACGUCGUGAGACAGUUUGGUCCCUAUCU